rnacentral:rRNA from 1 species
CUGGAGGACCGAACCGACUAAUGUUGAAAAAUUAGCGGAUGACUUGUGGCUGGGGGUGAAAGGCCAAUCAAACCGGGAGAUAGCUGGUUCUCCCCGAAAGCUAUUUAGGUAGCGCCUCGUGAAUUCAUCUCCGGGGGUAGAGCACUGUUUCGGCAAGGGGGUCAUCCCGACUUACCAACCCGAUGCAAACUGCGAAUACCGGAGAAUGUUAUCACGGGAGACACACGGCGGGUGCUAACGUCCGUCGUGAAGAGGGAAACAACCCAGACCGCCAGCUAAGGUCCCAAAGUCAUGGUUAAGUGGGAAACGAUGUGGGAAGGCCCAGACAGCCAGGAUGUUGGCUUAGAAGCAGCCAUCAUUUAAAGAAAGCGUAAUAGCUCACUGGUCGAGUCGGCCUGCGCGGAAGAUGUAACGGGGCUAAACCAUGCACCGAAGCUGCGGCAGCGACACUAUGUGUUGUUGGGUAGGGGAGCGUUCUGUAAGCCUGUGAAGGUGGCCUGUGAGGGUUGCUGGAGGUAUCAGAAGUGCGAAUGCUGACAUAAGUAACGAUAAAGCGGGUGAAAAGCCCGCUCGCCGGAAGACCAAGGGUUCCUGUCCAACGUUAAUCGGGGCAGGGUGAGUCGACCCCUAAGGCGAGGCCGAAAGGCGUAGUCGAUGGGAAACAGGUUAAUAUUCCUGUACUUGGUGUUACUGCGAAGGGGGGACGGAGAAGGCUAUGUUGGCCGGGCGACGGUUGUCCCGGUUUAAGCGUGUAGGCUGGUUUUCCAGGCAAAUCCGGAAAAUCAAGGCUGAGGCGUGAUGACGAGGCACUACGGUGCUGAAGCGACAAAUGCCCUGCUUCCAGGAAAAGCCUCUAAGCAUCAGGUAACAUCAAAUCGUACCCCAAACCGACACAGGUGGUCAGGUAGAGAAUACCAAGGCGCUUGAGAGAACUCGGGUGAAGGAACUAGGCAAAAUGGUGCCGUAACUUCGGGAGAAGGCACGCUGAUAUGUAGGUGAAGCGACUUGCUCGUGGAGCUGAAAUCAGUCGAAGAUACCAGCUGGCUGCAACUGUUUAUUAAAAACACAGCACUGUGCAAACACGAAAGUGGACGUAUACGGUGUGACGCCUGCCCGGUGCCGGAAGGUUAAUUGAUGGGGUUAGCGGUAACGCGAAGCUCUUGAUCGAAGCCCCGGUAAACGGCGGCCGUAACUAUAACGGUCCUAAGGUAGCGAAAUUCCUUGUCGGGUAAGUUCCGACCUGCACGAAUGGCGUAAUGAUGGCCAGGCUGUCUCCACCCGAGACUCAGUGAAAUUGAACUCGCUGUGAAGAUGCAGUGUACCCGCGGCAAGACGGAAAGACCCCGUGAACCUUUACUAUAGCUUGACACUGAACAUUGAGCCUUGAUGUGUAGGAUAGGUGGGAGGCUUUGAAGUGUGGACGCCAGUCUGCAUGGAGCCGACCUUGAAAUACCACCCUUUAAUGUUUGAUGUUCUAACGUGGGCCCCUUACCGGGGUUGCGGACAGUGUCUGGUGGGUAGUUUGACUGGGGCGGUCUCCUCCUAAAGAGUAACGGAGGAGCACGAAGGUUGGCUAAUCCUGGUCGGACAUCAGGAGGUUAGUGCAAUGGCAUAAGCCAGCUUGACUGCGAGCGUGACGGCGCGAGCAGGUGCGAAAGCAGGUCAUAGUGAUCCGGUGGUUCUGAAUGGAAGGGCCAUCGCUCAACGGAUAAAAGGUACUCCGGGGAUAACAGGCUGAUACCGCCCAAGAGUUCAUAU